rnacentral:rRNA from 1 species
UACCAGCCUGGACGUGCCCGAUCCUGUUCCAUCUUGGAAGCCGAGCAGGGUCGGGCCUGGUUAGUGCUUGGAUGGGAGACCGCACAUACGCGGCA